CAGGCUGAGGCACCGCUUCCCGGAGCUCCGACGUGUUGAAGAACAUGUACACGCUGUGCGGGCUUUGCUUGAAUUUGCUGUAGAUGCCUAGAGGAGUGGAGACGUGGAAGUCAGGACUUCAGCAGGGUCUAGGGAGCAGCCCUACACCCCUGCUAUUAAGAGUGGAGGCUCCAGGGUUGACAGGCCUGGCUUGGACACAGAGACAAAGGGGAGAGGGAGAGAUAGAAGGACAUCACAGCACCAAAGAUUCAUCAAGUAUAAUGGUGGCCAACCUUGUAACCUGAGCGGUAUGCACCACAACGCAGGUACACUAUCCAGGUGAGAUAACUUGCUAGCUCUAACUAGCUUUUCCUUUAUUAUCAUGAGUGUUUGGAUGGCCCAGAAGGUGGUGUAGUAGAUAAAACAGUGGACUCUCAAGUAUGAGGUCCUGAGUUUGAUCCCCAGCAUUGCCUGUGCCAGAAUGAUGUUCUGGCCCUCUAUCUCUAAAUAAGGGUACAACUGGUGUGUAUUUAAAAAUAAAAGGAAAAGUGCUUAGGCUGGGGAGAUAGCAUAAUGGUUCUGCAAAAAGACUUUCAUGCCUGAGGCCUGAGGUUCUAGGUUCAAUCUCCAGCAUCACCAUAAACCAGAGCUGAGCAGUGCUCUAGUAAAAAAAAAAGAAAGUGUGCUUUGGGGUGUAUGUGUGUGUGUUUACGGUUUAGUUAUUCUAUGAGAGGCCAGGGACUGCUCAUCUCUGGAUGAUGGUGGUGCUGGGGAUUGAACCUAGGAUCUCUGAGCCUCAGGUAUGAGAGUCUUUGCAGAACUACUAUGCCAUCUCCCCUGCCUAGCCCCUGUUUCUUCAAUCUCCCACCUCUGUGACCCUGGGCCAGUCACACUCCCUCUCAGGGCCUGUUUCCUGUUAUUCUUUGAGAAACUGCAAGGACAUGUGGCUCGCUUGCCUUCCUCCCUACUGCACUGUGUAACUGGGCAAGUGAAAAUUCCUGUGCCUGGGCCAGACUCACAUCUGCCAAAUAAGGAGCAGCUUCCAGCAAGAUCACCUGUGAGAGGAGUGAAGAGAGGCAGGUGGAGUUUGACACCUAGGAGGCAUGCUGGGGACAGUUGUGUGUAUGUUAAACGCACUCCAUGUGUGUCUGGCACUAUUCAAAGCACCGUUCCAAGGCUAAGAUAUUCGGACUGAGCUGGGGAGAUAGCAUAGUGGUUCUGAAAAAAACUUUCAUUUUAGAGGCUGUGAGGCCCCAGGUUCCAUCCCCAGCACCACCAUAUACCAGAGCUGAGCAUGUGUCUGUCUUUUUUUUCUCUCUCUCAUUAAAUAAAUAUUUUUACAAAACAUUUGUACAAAAAAGACACUUAGACUUGGGCUAGGGAGAAAGCACAGUGUAGUUAAAAAGACCUUCAAGUCUCAGGUCCCAGGUUCAAUUCCUAGUACCACCAUAAUCCAGAGUUGAGCAAUGUUCUAGGGGGGAAAAAAGUCAUCCCCUGAAGAAAAUCAUCACAUUUACUGCAUAGUUGGGUCAACUCAGGCACAGAGCGAUUAAACAAUGUGUCCCGAUGUCACACGGCUCAGAUGCUACGCUCAGAGCUUAGGAACAGAGGCUCAGCCUGGGGGCCCCACUGGUGGUAGCUCAAUGGUAGGACCUAACAAAUGGUGGAGCAGUGUUGAUGUCUCUCCUACAUGUCUCUCAUAUAAAAAACAAACAAAAAAGGCCAUCACUAAUGUUGUAGGUGUGCAAGCACUAUCCCUAGCAAUAAUUUUGGUGGAAAAAAGGAAAAAAGAAAAAGAAAAGAAAUUCAAGGGCUGGGGGAGACAGGCAACAGUGUUUCUGCAAAUGACUCUCAUGCCUGAGGCUCUGAGGUUCCAGGUUCAAUCCCCAGCACCACCAUAAACCAGAGGUGAGCACUGCUUGGGUAAAAUAAAUGUCAUAUAUACAUAUACAUAUACAUAUACAUAUACAUAUACAUAUACAUAUACAUAUACAUAUACAUAUACAUAUACAUAUAUCCUCAACUUACUAACAUUACUUCUCUUGGCAAGAAUCUUGCAUUUUAUUUCAGUGUCAGCAGGCUGGCUGUGGACUCUUCCAGCUCCACCACAGUGACAUUUCUGGAGCAUUUCUUUCUUUUCUUUUCUUUCUUUCUUUUUUUUAAGAACCAGAUAUCACUCUGGUACCUGUGCUGUUGGGGAUUGAACUCAGGACCUCAUGCUUGAGAGUCUAGUGCCUUAGCCACUGCACCACCUCCCGGGCCACAUUUCUUUCUUUUCUUCUUUGCUUUUUAAAACAUUUUUCUUUUCUUUGUCAUUUUAUUUUUUUUUAAUUUUUUUUUAAAUCAGUCUCCAUAGAGACUGUCAAAAAUUGCCAAUGCUGACUGUAUUUCAAGUCGUCAUGGAGGGAUAUUGGGAAAAGUUUUCAAUUAGCAAUAAUCGCGCCUCGGAUAAACCUCUCUGGCUGCAAUACUGCCACUGCACAAAGCGAAAUUUUAUUGAUUUUUUAAUUUUGGAUAGACACAGAGAAACUGAGGGAAGUGGGAGACAGAAAGAAGAAGGAGGAAGGAGGAGGAGGAGGAGAAGGAGAAGAAUAAAGUGGUAGCGGUAGUAAUAGCAGUAGUAGUAGAUAGUAGAGACCUCGGCCUGCAGCACUGCUUCAUUACUCAAGGAGCUUACAGGUGGGGACGAGGGACUUAAACCCAGGUCCUUGCAUAUGGUAAUGUGGUACAGCAUUGCUUUUUGCUCUACAAUAUAACCUUCCCUGUAGAUCCCAAUGUGUGUGGUCAAAGGCUUUUUUUUUUUUUUUGCCAGAGUACUGCUCAGGUCUGGCAUGUUAUCUCCCUGGCCCCAUUCCAUGCCUUCCUCUAUUUACUUAUUAUUUAUCUAUUUUAAUGAAAGAGAGAAAGAGAGGCCAGCUAUGGCUUAUGGUGGUCCUGGGGACUGACCUGAGACCUCAGAGCCUUAGACAUGAAAGUCUUCUUGCAGAAACAUUAUGCUGUCUCCCCAACCCCACUCCAAGCUUUCUAAAAGACAUACAGGACAGGCAACAGGUGCCUCUCUUUCUCGCUGUGGUCGUCUUAGCGAUUUGCUGGAAAAUGGUGGUUCAAGUAGAAGAGAAGCUCAAAGACCAUGCUAAUUUAACUCCUAGACUCUGCUGUCCACUUGCUAAGAAGAAACUAUGAGCCUUACUAUUAUUUGUUUCCUUCCUUAAUUUUCCCCCUCAGUGGGUUAAAGAAAGCCAUGUUCACUCUAGACAGGAAUGGCUGGGGGGAGGGUAGUUGAGGAAAAAAAUGAGAAAGGCAUUUUGCUUGUUUGUUUUUGGUACAGAGAGAGGGGGGAGGAAAUCACAGUACUAGAGCUUCCUCUAAUGUGGUGGGGGCUGGGCUACAACCUGGGUUGCACACAUGGCCAAGAAGCACACUGUCCAAGCAAGCUAUUUUGCCAGCCCAGGGCAGUUCUGCAGCCUGGGGGAAAGUGCAGAAUUGUUAGGCUAGAGGUGAAAAACUCUGGAUUAACCAGAUUGCUAUUUUAGGCCUCUGGAAAGAGGGGUAGGGGGAGAAAGAGGGCAUGCCUCAAAUUCUGAGCUGGUAUCUGAAGUGAGGGACAAGAGGAAACCCCUCUGGGGGGGACUUCUCCUAUUCCCCUCAACUUUGGUUACAACCCCACUACAAAAAAAAAAAAAACACAAAAAAAAAACCCUAUCUUGUCCCAGCGGAAACUCGACACCCCCCAGAGGAAGAGUCAAACCCGGGUGGGGUGGAGGAGGGGACAGAUAGAGAGAAGGGAGGGGCAGAAGAGGCUGGAGGGAAAGAUGGAGGAACUGAGUAGACAGGUAUAGAGUAGAGGAGGAAGGCAGGAAGGAAGGAAGGAAGGAAGGAAUGGAGGAAGGAAGGAAGGGAGGAGUGGUGAGGGAUGGAGUGAGGAAGAGGGAGGGGAAAAGACAUAGGGACAGACAUACUAGGAAAAGAGACCUAAAGCUUGGGAGUAGAAAGGAGACUGAGAGGUGAGAACUGAAGUCAUCAGUACUUAAAUAAUAAAGGGGGUGGGGUGGACAGGAAACAGCUCACUUGGGGUAGUGUGCAGUUUUGCCAUGUGUUCAACAGAGGUUCGAGCCCAGUUCCCAUUGCACUGAAGGAAGCUUUGGUGCUGGGGGCUCUCUCUCUCUCGUUCCUUCUCUCAAAAACAAAGUAAAAUAAAAUAAUGGAAGCAUGAAGCAGUGUGUAUGGGUGAAGCCUUGGACUCACAAGCAUGAGGUCGGAAGUCCCAUCCCUGGAAUCACAUGUGCCAGAGUAGUGCUCUACUUCUGUCUCCUCCUCUCUUUCAUUAACCAAUUAAUUGAUUUAAGGGGGGGGGGAGACCAGAAGGGGGUGUAGUGGAGAUACUAUUGGGCUCUCAAGCACAAGGUCUGAAGUUCCAUCCCCAGUACUCUAUAUGCCAAAGUGAUGCACUGGCUCUUUCCAUCAUAAGUAAAUAAAAGCUUUUUUUUUUUUUCCCUCCAGAGUUUUUGCUGAUGCUGGCUCUAGAAUCCACAGCUCCCCGCAGAGUUUUUGGGUUCCCCCCCACUUUCUUUCUAUUUUAUUUGGUAGGACAGAGAGAAACAAGAGGAGAGAUAGACACCUACAACCUGCUUCACUACUCCUGAAGGGUCCCUGCUGCAGGUGGGGAGCAGGAGCUUGAACCUUGGGUACACCAUCGUCCAACCGUUAAAUAAAAACUUUUAAGGGCCUAAUGGUUAUGCAAAAAGACGUUCAUGCUUAGGCAGCAACAGUCUCAGGUUCAAUCCUCAACACUACCAUAAGCCAGAGCUGAGCGGUGCUCUGGUCUCCUGUCUCUCCCUCUCCCUCUGUGUGUGUGUUUCUGCAUUACCUCUCACUAAAAGUUGAAAAUAUUUUUACUAUA